rnacentral:rRNA from 1 species
CCUCUCCUACGGGGGGCAGCAGUGAGGAAUAUUGGUCAAUGGCCGAGAGGCUGAACCAGCCAAGUCGCGUGAGGGAUGACGGCCCUACGGGUUGUAAACCUCUUUUGCCGGGGAGCAAAGAGAGUCACGUGUGGCUCAUUGAGAGUACCCGAAGAAAAAGCAUCGGCUAACUCCGUGCCAGCAGCCGCGGUAAUACGGAGGAUGCGAGCGUUAUCCGGAUUUAUUGGGUUUAAAGGGUGCGCAGGCGGAAUGUCAAGUCAGCGGUAAAAUUUCAGGGCUCAACCCUGUCGAGCCGUCGGAACUGG